rnacentral:rRNA from 1 species
AUGGAAGUGGAGCCUUUGUUCGAGGACGAGCUCGCCAACCAAGCCGCCGGUCAUAAGCCGAAGCGCAAGAGCAAGCGCACGAAGGCGUACACGGCGGCCAAGGACAAGCUUCUUUGCGAGUGUUGGCGAGACAUUGGGCAAGACCCCAAGACGGGUGCCGAGCAAAAGCAUUCAACCUUUUGGAUUCGUUUCCACCGAGAGUUUCAUGAGCGCAAGAAGUUUCCACCUUACCAAUUUGUGAGCACACGCGGAUGGGUCUCCAUUUCCAAGCGGUGGAGGGUGAUCCAACAAGAGUGCAACAAGUUUUGCGCCACUCUUGAGAGCGUCAAGGCCCGCCCCGUGAGCGGCAUCUGCAUGAAAGACAUGGUAUGCUAG